AUCCAGAUGACGAGUCGGAAAUAGGACGAAACCCGAGUACUGGAU
rfam:Schistosoma mattheei strain Denwood, Zambia genome assembly, scaffold: SMTD_scaffold0010478